GCAGACAUUCUCUCCUCCUUCAGUUGCAGUGUCCCCUCGAACAGAAAGUGAUAUCUGAGAGCCCCUCCAGCUCCUAUCUGACCAGGCAGAGAUGAAGGACUUCCCAGAAGGGUGAUGUCACACAAGAGGAGCAGCAGCAGCAGAUGCAACCACAAGAAACUCUGCUCGGUGCUGUGGCAGACUCAAAGAUGACUGAUACAUUCACUGUCCUUUGCAAACAAUGGGCUCCACUGAUGCUGGCAUGAUGAUGUCACCGCUUUCUGAGGACCUGAACAAUCACAACGGCACACCAGGAGCCUUAUUCAGAUGAGUGAUGACUUCACCAUUAAGAGCACCUACUGCCUUUGCCGAGGACCUGGGUUCAGUUCCCAGCACCCACAUGGCAGCUCACAACCAUCUG